GACGAACGCUGGCGGCGUGCCUAAUACAUGCAAGUCGAACGCAGUGGGGACGGGUGAGUAACACGUGGGUAACCUCCCAUCAGAGGGGAUAACACUUGGAAACAGGUGCUAAACCGAUACUGAUGGAUGGUCCCGCGGUGCAUUAGCUAGUUGGUGAGGUAACGGCUCACCAAGGCCACGAUGGUUAGCCGACCUGAGAGGGUGAUCGGCCACACUGGGACGUGGACAGGGCCCAGACUACUCCGGGAGGCAGCAGUAGGGAAUCUUCGGCGAUGGACGAAAGUCUGACCGGGCAACUCCGCGUGAGUGAAGAAGGUUUUCGGAUCGUAAAACUCUGUUGUUAGAGAAGCGGUAUCUAACCAGAAGGCCACGGCUAACUACGUGCCAGCAGCCGCGGUAAUUC
rnacentral:rRNA from 1 species